CCUACGGGAGGCUGCAGUGGGGAAUAUUGCACAAUGGGGGAAACCCUGAUGCAGCGACGCCGCGUGAGUGAAGAAGUACUUCGUUAUGUAAAGCUCUAUCAGCAGGGAAGAAAAUGCCGGUACCUGAGUAAGAAGCCCCGGCUAACUACGUGCCAGCAGCCGCGGUAAUAAGUAGGGGGCAAGCGUUAUCCGGAUUUACUGGGUGUAAAGGGAGCGUAGACGGCAGUGCAAGUCUGGAGUGAAAGGCGGGGGCUCAACCUCCGUACUGCUCUGGAAACUGUACGGCUGGAGUGCAGGAGAGGUAAGUGGAAUUCCUAGUGUAGCGGUGAAAUGCGUAGAUAUUAGGAGGAACACCAGUGGCGAAGGCGGCUUACUGGACUGUAACUGACGUUGAGGCUCGAAAGCGUGGGGAGCAAACAGGAUUAGAUACCCCAGUAGUC
rnacentral:rRNA from 1 species